UGUCCUGUGGCUUAGUUGGUUGAAGCGCCAGACAUGCGAUACGGAGUCGUGGGUUCAAAUCCCACCAAAACUA
rnacentral:tRNA from 1 species